GCAUAAUAAUUAGUCUUUUAAUUGGUGACUGGAAUGAAUGAAUUUAUAAAAUUAAGGCUUUAUUUAUUAUAUAUAAAUAAAUUAAUUUAUUAGUGAAGAAGCUAAUAUUGUUUUAUAGGACAAGAAGACCCUAAUGAUUUUUAUUUUAAUAGUUUAUAUAGAUUAAUAUGUAUUUUAAUAUAGUUAGUAGAAUUUUACUGGGGCGGUAUUAUUAUAUAUUUUUAAAUAAACUUAUAAUAUAGUAAUGAUUUAUAUCUGAAAAUUUGAUCCUUAGUUAUGAUUAUAAGUAUAAAAUACCAUAGGGAUAACAGGCUUAUUAAUUUAGAUAGUUUAUAUUGAAAAAUUAGU
rnacentral:rRNA from 1 species